rnacentral:rRNA from 1 species
UGCUAUCUGCAGUCGAGCGACUGAUUAGAAGCUUGCUUCUAUGACGUUAGCGGCGGACGGGUGAGUAACACGUGGGCAACCUGCCUGUAAGACUGGGAUAACUUCGGGAAACCGAAGCUAAUACCGGAUAGGAUCUUCUCCUUCAUGGGAGAUGAUUGAAAGAUGGUUUCGGCUAUCACUUACAGAUGGGCCCGCGGUGCAUUAGCUAGUUGGUGAGGUAACGGCUCACCAAGGCAACGAUGCAUAGCCGACCUGAGAGGGUGAUCGGCCACACUGGGACUGAGACACGGCCCAGACUCCUACGGGAGGCAGCAGUAGGGAAUCUUCCGCAAUGGACGAAAGUCUGACGGAGCAACGCCGCGUGAGUGAUGAGGGCUUUCGGGUCGUAAAACUCUGUUGUUAGGGAAGAACAAGUACAAGAGUAACUGCUUGUACCUUGACGGUACCUAACCAGAAAGCCACGGCUAACUACGUGCCAGCAGCCGCGGUAAUACGUAGGUGGCAAGCGUUAUCCGGAAUUAUUGGGCGUAAAGCGCGCGCAGGCGGUUUCUUAAGUCUGAUGUGAAAGCCCACGGCUCAACCGUGGAGGGUCAUUGGAAACUGGGGAACUUGAGUGCAGAAGAGAAAAGCGGAAUUCCACGUGUAGCGGUGAAAUGCGUAGAGAUGUGGAGGAACACCAGUGGCGAAGGCGGCUUUUUGGUCUGUAACUGACGCUGAGGCGCGAAAGCGUGGGGAGCAAACAGGAUUAGAUACCCUGGUAGUCCACGCCGUAAACGAUGAGUGCUAAGUGUUAGAGGGUUUCCGCCCUUUAGUGCUGCAGCUAACGCAUUAAGCACUCCGCCUGGGGAGU